UCGGGAAUUUUGCGCAAUGGACGAAAGUCUGACGCAGCAACGCCGCGUGAGGGAUGAAGGCCUUCGGGUUGUAAACCUCUUUUAUCAGGGAAGAUGAUGACGGUACCUGAUGAAUAAGUCACGGCUAACUACGUG
rnacentral:rRNA from 1 species